rnacentral:rRNA from 1 species
AGUGAACGCUGGCGGUAGGCCUAACACAUGCAAGUCGAACGGCAGCACAGAGGAGCUUGCUCCUUGGGUGGCGAGUGGCGGACGGGUGAGGAAUACAUCGGAAUCUACUCUGUCGUGGGGGAUAACGUAGGGAAACUUACGCUAAUACCGCAUACGACCUACGGGUGAAAGCAGGGGACCUUCGGGCCUUGCGCGAUUGAAUGAGCCGAUGUCGGAUUAGCUAGUUGGCGGGGUAAAGGCCCACCAAGGCGACGAUCCGUAGCUGGUCAGAGAGGAGGACCAGCCACACUGGAACUGAGACACGGCCCAGACUCCUACGGGAGGCAGCAGUGGGGAAUAUUGGACAAUGGGCGCAAGCCUGAUCCAGCCAUACCGCGUGGGUGAAGAAGGCCUUCGGGUUGUAAAGCCCUUUUGUUGGGAAAGAAAUCCAGCUGGCUAAUACCCGGUUGGGAUGACGGUACCCAAAGAAUAAGCACCGGCUAACUUCGUGCCAGCCGCCGCGGUAA